rnacentral:rRNA from 1 species
GUGCAUGCCCUUAGCAUGAAGUCAGACAAGAGAACCCGCUGAACUUAAGCAUAUGGAUCCC